UACAGAGGGUGCGAGCGUUAAUCGGAAUUACUGGGCGUAAAGCGCACGCAGGCGGUUGGAUAAGUUAGAUGUGAAAGCCCCGGGCUCAACCUGGGAAUUGCAUUUAAAACUGUCCAGCUAGAGUCUUGUAGAGGGGGGUAGAAUUCCAGGUGUAGCGGUGAAAUGCGUAGAGAUCUGGAGGAAUACCGGUGGCGAAGGCGGCCCCCUGGACAAAGACUGACGCUCAGGUGCGAAAGCGUGGGGAGCAAACAGG
rnacentral:rRNA from 1 species